rnacentral:sRNA from 1 species
AGCGCGCCGACGACGGCGCCUGCGCACUGGAAAACGGGACGGCCCG